CGCACAUUGCGCCCUUUGGCAUUCCGAAGGGCAUGCCUGUCCGAGCGUCAUUAUCAACCGUCAAGCCCGGCUUGUCCCUUGGACUUCCGCCCCUUCACCGGUGGCGGGGCCCGAAAGUCAGUGGUGGGCGUCCUCUGACCCUGAGACGUAGCGAGUCUUUUUAGGCAGCGUCGAGGCGGUCGGUGGGCUCCAUCUUAACCGUCAAUCUUUUUUGGUUCAAGAGUUGACCUCGGAUCAGGUAGGGAUACCCGCUGAACUUAA
rnacentral:misc_RNA from 1 species